AAGUCGUAACAAGGUUUUCGUAGGUGAACCUGCGAAAGGAUCAUUACCGAAUGUGAAUGCAUUGCUUGCAAUGUAGGCGAGGGUUACUCUUUGGAGUGCCCGAGAUGCUAGUGGCGAGCGUUUAACCACGCAACCUACAGCGUCGGCAGUGGCCAGUCCUGUGUGGACGAACACUGUUUCGAGAGCACCACGUGUGCCCUGUGUUUGAAAAGGAAAACCCAAAGCAGAACAACUGCAAACGGUGGAUCACUCGGCUC
rnacentral:misc_RNA from 1 species